rnacentral:lncRNA from 1 species
AUGGUCCGAUCAUUUCCUUGUGAAGUUUGGUUUGAUGGCAGCAGAUUCUCCAUUGGCAGAGGACCCAAUAAAAAGUUACACCUUCACAGACUUAUGGAAUCCAAAGGACUCUUGAAUGUUCUAGGGGAGAUUCUGGCUGACAGGGCUAGUAAUUCAGUCGAGGUCUUGGUCUCACUGUGGAAUGGUGAUAUGGAAGGGGUAGUUGAUACAGUUGCUCUCAAGAGUGGUGUAGUGGAGCCUAUAAUUCCCUUGGUUUAUCAAAGACUGGUGGAUGACUAAACAAACCGGAUAACAGCUAGAGUUCAAGUGGCACAGGUCUCGAAGCAACUAUGAUUAGCCUUCUAAUUGUUUUACUUGCCAAUGCUUUUUCAUCUUGCCCCUGCCACCCAGCAUAAUUGUUCUGAGUGGUUACAAGCUGACUUGGGAUUGGACCCAGAAAGGCUAGAAGCAGAACCCUAAGUCACCAGCUGUUAGAAAUUUGGUAGGCACUUAAAAGAGACAGUCACUUGGAACUGGAUGUCACAAAUGUUACAGUACUUAGGGAUGUGUCUAGACUAGAGCAUAGUCUAGGCAGGUUUGGGGGAUCCGUUUCAGCAGCAGUGGCUUGUUGAUGUGGACAAUAAGUUUGAAUCGGCCCAUCUCACCAUGCGUAUGCUUGACCCUUGCCAUUGUGGUUGACAAGAUCUAGCAAGGGUGGGUUGAAUGGUGGGUCCAGGAGGUAACAAAUGCCUCAUUAUGGCAGGUGAUGGUUAUUUCUGUUUUGAAAUAGGUGGUGGUGCCCUCUCUCCCAAAGAGGACUUAUCUGGACCCAGAAGUAUGUGACAAUUAUUUCCCCAUGGCAAAUAUUUGAUUUUUGGGCAAGGUGGUGAAUGGGGAGCUUCGCAUGUUCUUGGAAGAAACUUCAGCCUAGUUUCAGACCAGAGUUUGGUAUCAAAGUGGCCUUAGCUGCCUUGACUGAUUACCUGCUCCAGGCUAAAGACUAGUUCCAAAGGGUGAUAUUGGGGUACUUUUGCACAGCCCCACGGUGAUUAAGCAGUGGGAUGUCACAGGAUUAUAUUCUAUCCCCCAUGCUCUAUAAAGUUGCUGGGAGAGAUCGUUAGAAAUGUUGGGUUUGGGUGCCUGUAAGAAAGGGUGCAGGAAGUGAGACACUUCCCACCCAUGUGCCUUGUUUGCUACCCUGGAAAAAGAAAGGACAACAGGAGAUGAGUGUGUCCAAGCCAGGAGGGGGAUGAGGGAGAGACGAUCCAGAAAUAAGAGGGGGGAAGGAGAGGGAAGGAGGAGAAAAUAAAAUAUAUGAAAGGGAGACA